rnacentral:tRNA from 1 species
GGGGGCAGUGGCUCAGCAGAAGAACCUUCGCCUGGAAUGCAGAAGGUCCCUGGUUCGAUCCAGGGCUUCUCCU